rnacentral:rRNA from 1 species
UACGAAGGGUGCAAGCGUUAAUCGGAAUUACUGGGCGUAAAGCGUGCGCAGGCGGCUUAACAAGUCACUUGUGAGAUCUCCGGGCUUAACUCGGAACGGCCAAGUGAAACUGUCAAGCUAGAGUGCAGAAGGGGCAAUCGGAAUUCUUGGUGUAGCGGUGAAAUGCGUAGAUAUCAAGAGGAACACCUGAGGUGAAGACGGGUUGCUGGGCUG